AAGAGACAGCAGUAGCCGCGGUAAUACGUAGGGUGCAAGCGUUAAUCGGAAUUACUGGGCGUAAAGCGUGCGCAGGCGGUCCGCUAAGACAGAUGUGAAAUCCCCGGGCUUAACCUGGGAACUGCAUUUGUUACUGGCGGGCUAGAGUAUGGCAGAGGGGGGUAGAAUUCCACGUGUAGCAGUGAAAUGCGUAGAGAUGUGGAGGAAUACCGAUGGCUAAGGCAGCCCCCUGGGCCAAUACUGACGCUCAUGCACGAAAGCGUGGGGAGCAAACAGGAUUAGAUACCCGAGUAGUCCCUGUCUCUUAUAC
rnacentral:rRNA from 1 species